UACAGGGGGUGCAAACGUUGCUCGGAAUCAUUGGGCGUAAAGCGCACGUAGGCGGUUCGUUAUGUCGGAUGUGAAAGCCCUUGGCUUAACCGAGGAAGUGCAUCCGAAACUGGCGAGCUAGAGUACUAAAGAGGAUCGCGGAAUUCCCGGUGUAGCGGUGAAAUGCGCAGAUAUCGGGAAGAACACCCGUGGCGAAGGCGGUUCUCUGGGACGGUACUGACGCUGAGACGCGAAAGCGUGGGGAGCAAACAGG
rnacentral:rRNA from 1 species